GUGCUCGCCUCCGCAGCACAUGUACUAAAACUGGAGCGAUACAGAGAAGAUUAGCAUGGCCCCUGAGUAAGGAUGACACGCAAAUUCCUGAAGCGUUCCAUAUUAAA